UGCAGUCGACGAAGUAGCAAUACUUAGUGGCAGACGGGUGAGUAACAUGUAGGUAUCUGCCCUUUGGCCUGGAAUAACACGAGGAAACUUGUGCUACUACCGGAUAAGUCUUUACGGAGAAAGCUUUAUGCACCAUUGGAUGAGCCUGCACUUGAUUAGUUUGUUGGUGGGGUAAUGGCCUACCAAGACGAUGAUCAAUAGCUGAUUUGAGAGGAUGAUCAGCCACAUUGGGACUGAGACACGGCCCAAACUCCUACGGGAGGCAGCAGUGGGGAAUCUUGCACAAUGGAGGAAACUCUGAUGCAGCGAUGCCGCGUGAGUGAAGAAGGCCCUUGGGUUGUAAAGCUCUUUCGUCGGGGAAGAAAAUGACUGUACCCGAAUAAGAAGGUCCGGCUAACUUCGUGCCAGCAGCCGCGGUAAUACGAAGGGACCUAGCGUAGUUCGGAAUUACUGGGCUUAAAGAGUUCGUAGGUGGUCGAAAAAGUUGGUGGUGAAAUCCCAGAGCUUAACUCUGGAACUGCCAUCAAAACUUUUCAGCUAGAGUAUGAUAGAGGAAAGCAGAAUUUCUAGUGUAGAGGUGAAAUUCGUAGAUAUUAGAAAGAAUACCGAUUGCGAAGGCAGCUUUCUGGAUCAUUACUGACACUGAGGAACGAAAGCAUGGGUAGCGAAGAGGAUUAGAUACCCUCGUAGUCCAUGCCGUAAACGAUGUGUGUUAGACGUUGGAAAUUUAUUUUCAGUGUCGCAGCGA
rnacentral:rRNA from 1 species